UACGUAGGGUGCAAGCGUUGUCCGGAAUUAUUGGGCGUAAAGAGCUCGUAGGCGGUUUGUCGCGUCUGCUGUGAAAACUCGGGGCUUAACUCCGGGCCUGCAGUGGGUACGGGCAGACUAGAGUGCGGUAGGGGAGACUGGAAUUCCCGGUGUAGCGGUGAAAUGCGCAGAUAUCAGGAGGAACACCGGUGGCGAAGGCGGGUCUCUGGGCCGUAACUGACGCUGAGGAGCGAAAGCGUGGGGAGCGAACAGG
rnacentral:rRNA from 1 species